GUGGGGAAUCUUCCGCAAUGGACGAAAGUCUGACGGAGCAACGCCGCGUGAGUGAAGAAGGUUUUCGGAUCGUAAAGCUCUUUCGUUAGGGACGAACGUGCUCUUUGUGAAUAAUGAGGAGUAAUGACGGUACCUAAAUAAGAAGCCACGGCUAACUACGUGCCAGCAGCCGCGGUAAUACGUAGGUGGCAAGCGUUGUCCGGAAUUAUUGGGCGUAAAGCGCGCGCAGGCGGGAUAUCAAGUCUGUCUUAAAAGUGCGGGGCUCAACCUCGUGAGGGGACAGAAACUGGUAUUCUUGAGUGUCGGAGAGGAAAGUGGAAUUCCAAGUGUAGCGGUGAAAUGCGUAGAGAUUUGGAAGAACACCAGUGGCGAAGGCGACUUUCUGGACGAUGUCUGACGCUGAGGCGCGAAAGCUAGGGGAGCGAACGGGAUUAGAAACCCCUGUAGUCC
rnacentral:rRNA from 1 species